CUACUUUAAAUUACCAGCCGUAUAUUCCACGGCCCUCCACCAACCUCCUUGCCAAGCUCAAUCUCAAUGGCGUGAUCUCAGGGACGAGGCCCGCUCACGGGUUCCCAAGCUUCAUACACAGCAUGUACAAGGAUGAGUUCAUCUUGACGUACGCCAUCAAGGAGACGGAGCGCAUGGCGGUUGUGAUCCUCAACAACUUCUGCGACCUCAUCGAAGGGGAUGAGGUGGGGGAGACCAGGGAAGUGCUCUUGAGGUCUACACGGUCUGCCGCGCUCACCUUUAUUCGUGCCAUGCUCGACGAGUACUACGGGUAGCCUGAAUCUGUGUAAGGAGCAGGGAGGCGAGGAGUGCCUCAAGUGGCUCCACGGCAAGGAUACCUCCUCCGUCGUGUAACUUUGGAAUCACCGUCGUCAUGAUCAGCGUGCUGAUCGUGGAGUACAUGCGAGGGCCGGCCAAGAGCGGCAGGCAAUUCGUGGAAGCUGACUACAUCUUCCUAAAUCUUCACUGUAUUUUUUUUCCUUUUUGAGUUUCCUCUGCAAAGUGCGUGUAUGGAUUCCUUUCCCCAAGCAUGCUCUACAACUCCAUGUAGGUACUAACGAGUACAGUGCAUUUUGUUUAGUUCUCUUUGCACAUAUUUUUUAUAAUAGUGUAUCAUCUGGAGAUCUAUUAACAUGUUUAUUCAGAAGCAAAUACCAGCAGCUCCUGGAGUACGUCUGUACGUGUUGGGGCUGGCCAACAGCGGCAGGCAGUUCAUGGAUAAUCUGACUAUUUCUUUCUAAAUUUCCUCUGUAUUUUUUCUUUUCAGUUUCCUCUGCUCAUUGCGUGCAUGGAUUCCUUUCACACCCCAAGCAUGUUGUACAACUCCAUGUAGCAGGUAUCGAUUGUUCUUCUCCCGUACAGCAUGGCUGUAGUACGCCGCCGCCGCGAAGGCAUGCAAUACCACAUGGAAGUUGUGCCACCGAUCCAGCUGAUUACCUAGCUUAUGACUUCCUACCAUCACAAGAUUCCUGCUGUAAUGAUUAACGUCUGUUUAAAGUUGCGAUUAAUACCCAGGUCUGUUUGCGUCUCCACUCAAUGUCACCGGCUUUCUAUUUCCUACCUUUUGUGAUUUUUCAUUGGAUUUUCAUAAUCACAGUGAUUAGAUCGACUAGGUCACAGCAAGGUCCAUCGGAGGUAAGCCAUGUAGAUCGAAGUGAAAAAGUAGGACAAUGGAAAUUGCAAGCAAGCGCUACACGAAGAAAGCAAGGAGAGCAGACGGGCCGCCGACUAACGAUCUUUCCAAAGCCUUUGUUUCUCUUUGAGAUAAAGUCAUCCUCCUAUACACGGGAAUAAGAAGCUGGCUAAUGAGGUAUACCUGAACUUCAUUGGCACACCACCAGCCUGGACGAUGUGCAGCGGUAAGCAUGCAACUGAGGGGAAAAGGAAACAUCGAGCAAUGGCAACGUUGUAGUCACAGAGUAGUCCUGUUGCAUAUAUAAGAAGUCAAUUGGGUUAAUGCGGAACUUGCCUAUGAAGAAAAUCACACUUCGACAAGGUUUCAGUUGAAUUCAAAGCAGUGAUUCAAUAUUUCAAUUUGAAGUACGUAAAUAAGAAUGCAUGCAAGCAGGAGAGGAGCAGCCCAUGUUUAAUUAUGUUGUUGUGAUUGAUCGCAGGCAGCAAGGAAGGUAAAUAUGGUCUGCAAGCAGCAGGAUGAUGUUUAUUUCUCAGUUCGUGAUGAUAAUAAAACAGAGUGUUUGAUGCAAUUUUUAGUGCUUGCUAUUCAUCUAAAUAAUGUACUCGGGUCAAGUUCAUUUUUUAUUAAUGUUAAUACAUAUGAUGUA